ensembl:snoRNA
AUCCUUUUGUAAUUCAUAAGUGUGAUCAUUGGGUUUUCACGCUCAUAUGUGAGACGUGCCAUCCUUGAACCUUAGAACAUCAGCACAUUACCUGUCUGACA